AUGCCAAAUUUUAAUCAUACACCAUGAAGCUGCAAAGUUGAGAGCCGUCCAACAGAUUUCUGAAUUUAAUUAGUGUGACUACUUGUUGGAAAGAGAUCAUCAUCAUAUGACAAAACAAAUACCCAAUAUAUGUUCCCAUCACAUCACACAACCAAGAUGUGCAGUCAAGCAUGAG